GACGGAAGGUGCAAGCGUUGCUCGGAAUCACUGGGCGUAAAGGGUGCGUAGGCGGCCGCGCAAGUCUGGCGUGAAAGCCCCGGGCUCAGCCCGGGAAGGGCGCUCGAAACGGCGCGGCUCGAGUGCCGGAGGGGAGAGUGGAAUUCCUGGUGUAGCGGUGAAAUGCGUAGAUAUCAGGAGGAACACCAGUGGCGAAGGCGGCGACCUGGGCCAAUACUGACGCUGAGGUGCGAAAGCGUGGGGAGCAAACAGG
rnacentral:rRNA from 1 species